CUCAGUGUGCAGGUCUCAGUGUGUAGGUCUCAGUGUCUGGUCUCAGUGUGUAGGUCUCAGUGUGUAGGUCUUAGUGUCUGAUCUCAUUGUGUAGGUCUCAGUGUGCAGGUCUCAGUGUGUAGGUCUCAGUUUCUGGUCCCAGUUUGUAGGUCUCAGUGUGUAGGUCUCAGUUUCUGGUCUCAGUGUGUAGGUCUCGGUGUCUGGUCUCAGAGUGUAGGUCUCAGUGUGUAGGUCUCAGUGUGUAGGUCUCAGUGUCUGGUCUCAGUGUGUAGGUUGCAGUGUCUGGUCUCAGUGUGUAGGUCUCAGUGUGUAGGUCUCAGUGUGUAGGUCUCAGUGUCUGG
rnacentral:lncRNA from 1 species